rnacentral:rRNA from 1 species
AUUGAACGCUGGCGGAAUGCUUUACACAUGCAAGUCGAACGGCAGCACGGACUUCGGUCUGGUGGCGAGUGGCGAACGGGUGAGUAAUGUAUCGGAACGUGCCCAGUCGUGGGGGAUAACGUAGUGAAAAUUACGCUAAUACCGCAUACGAUCUAUGGAUGAAAGCGGGGGAUCGCAAGACCUCGCGCGAUUGGAGCGGCCGAUAUCAGAUUAGGUAGUUGGUGGGGUAAAGGCCCACCAAGCCAACGAUCUGUAGCGGGUCUGAGAGGACGACCAGCCACACUGGAACUGAAACACGGUCCAGACUCCUACGGGAGGCAGCAGUGGGGAAUUUUGGACAAUGGGCGAAAGCCUGAUCCAGCCAUUCCGCGUGCAGGAUGAAGGCCCUCGGGUUGUAAACUGCUUUUGUACAGAACGAAAAGGUUUCUACUAAUACUAGGAGCUCAUGGCGGUACUGUAAGAAUAAGCACCGGCUAACUACGUGCCAGCCGCCGCGGUAA